UACGUAGGGUGCAAGCGUUGUCCGGAAUUACUGGGCGUAAAGAGUUCGUAGGCGGUUUGUCGCGUCGUUUGUGAAAACCAGCAGCUCAACUGCUGGCUUGCAGGCGAUACGGGCAGACUUGAGUACUGCAGGGGAGACUGGAAUUCCUGGUGUAGCGGUGAAAUGCGCAGAUAUCAGGAGGAACACCGGUGGCGAAGGCGGGUCUCUGGGCAACAACUGACGCUGAGGAGCGAAAGCGUGGGGAGCGAACAGG
rnacentral:rRNA from 1 species